UCGGUAGCGGGGCCGGGGUCGAUCGCCGCGGUCCCCUCCCCGCUCCGAGGGCCGAGACGCGGGUCCCCAGCCCGGCCAGCCCGCUUUCUCCCCUCGGAAGCCGGGCCGGGCGAGUGGCGCCGAUACCUCGGCGCCGGCGAAAGGAGAAGUGGAAGUUGAGCGCGGCGCCCGGUCGGUCCCCGCGCCCGCCGGGGCCACCGUCCCCCUCCCUCCUUCCCUCCCUCCUCUCCUCCCUGCCCGCCUGCCCCCGCGGCCCCGCGCCCGUGACUCACCUCGGCGCCGGGGCAGGCUGGUCCGGGCGGGCGAGGCGCAGGGCUCUCCCACACGUCGCGCCGCCAAUGGCAAGUUGGAGGGCGAGAUGCAAAUACCAGAUGAGGCUGCCGAGACCUAGGAAAUUAGCUGCUCUGGGUCAUCCAGGAGUGAGUGGCAAAGCUGAGACGCAAAUCCCAAAGAGCGCUUUUUCCGCUGUGCUCCCCAGCUUCGGGAGGAAGAAACACGGGCAGGGAGCACUUACUGGAACCUGAAGAAGAAACACAGAGAUGAGAGAAGUUACAAGCAGAGAAUGGAGGAAGAAACACGAUUUGGUCAGUGGAAGAAAAGCCUGGAGUAGAUGGAAGCAGAACAGUAAAGCCAUCUGAGGAGUGACGAAGUUCCGAUGUGAACUCACACAUCAUACUCCCAGCACUUCUGUUGCACUGAUGGGUCCUGUUGACCCGUCUGUGUCCGCCACUAGGUUCUAAAGCCAUUGAGGGCAGGGACUGUAUGUUACUCAUCUUCUUAUCUCUGGGGCCUAUUGGCCCACGGCAUGCAGCAAGUUCCGCAGUAUGUUUGCUAGCUGACCAAUAAAUCCAU